GUGUGCUCCAAUCAGAGGCCAGAGUCAGCUCCUAUCGAUCGAGUGCAAAGGCUUCAACUCCUGCAUAUUUACUUAGUACUGAUCGAUAACUGUGAUUAGGUACAAGAGCGGGCAGCGGGUCCACAGCGUGAUGUGAACUCAUGAAUAAUGAAAGAUGGAGACAGGCACACACACACACAAAUAGACACACACAGGCAUGCACGCACAAUCUAGUGAAAUGUAGGAGGUUUAAUAUAGAUGUGAGAGAGAAGAUUGAUCACUUGAAAAACUCUGGACUCCAGAACCAUAAUCAACAAAAAAGACAUAAUAACAUAGAAUGUAACUGAGUAGAGCUCAUUACUCCGCCAAGGCCAAACUGUCCCCUUAAAUUCAAGCAAGCUGCACAAUGUCUUACACACUUAGACUUUUAAUGUGCCUAAUUUAUUCAUCUAGAUCAUUUUAUUAUUUUAUUAGUCAAAAAUCAACAAAAUUGCUAAAAUCAACAGUUUGCAAUGUCGAAGAAGAUGAGAAAUAAAACUCCCUGAUCUGCUUCCACACUAAAAUGUACCGGUUUCUUCCCUGAGCCAUGCUUUAUCCUUCCAUAAAGUUAUGUGUUACUCUGUGCUGUAGGUUGUGCCAGCUUGCAAACAGACAACCAGGACAUGGAUGAAAACAACCUGCUUGGAGGAGGUGAAGCAUUUUGAAAAAGCUGUUUCAAAAGGUCCUAUACAAACAAAAUUCCUGCAGCGGGACCGGGGCCCUCCCACAGUGAAUCCUGUGGUGUGACAUCAGCCUGAGUGACAAGGAGGAAGCGGAUUGGGGAAGAGUCAAGCUACACAGAGAAUCACACAUUAAGAUCAGGAAAUGUCUCUUCAAAAUAAAAUUUCAAACAUAGCCCUUUGGAUCACUCUGCCAGAG